UCUGCCUUUCUUUUUCUUUGCUGCCCUGGGGGUUUAAUGGCUUUGCAGAGAAGCUCCUGCCUGGCAUAUUGAGCUGCUCCAGAAGGUCUAACCCAUAAGCAGUCCAGCAAGACUAUGAAUCUCUGUUCCAAAUGCUUUGCUGAAAAAAGAAAUCCACACAACGAAAAAGGUU